rnacentral:rRNA from 1 species
ACGAACGCUGGCGGCGUGCUUCACACAUGCAAGUCGAACGGUAAGGCCCCUUCGGGGGUACACGAGUGGCGAACGGGUGAGUAACACGUGAGCAACCUGCCCUUGACUCUGGAAUAACAGUUGGAAACAGCUGCUAAUACUGGAUAUUCAUCGUCUCCUUCCUGGGGGGUGGUGGAAAGCUCCGGCGGUCAGGGAUGGGCUCGCGGCCUAUCAGCUUGUUGGUGAGGUAAUGGCUCACCAAGGCUUCGACGGGUAGCCGGCCUGAGAGGGCGACCGGCCACACUGGGACUGAGAUACGGCCCAGACUCCUACGGGAGGCAGCAGUGGGGAAUAUUGCACAAUGGGCGCAAGCCUGAUGCAGCAACGCCGCGUGCGGGAUGACGGCCUUCGGGUUGUAAACCGCUUUCAGUAGGGACGAAGGGUGACUGACGGUACCUACAGAAGAAGGACCGGCUAACUACGUG